rnacentral:lncRNA from 1 species
GGAGCCUUGGCCUUCGACAAGCUUUAUGUGAACACAGGGCAUCCAUCUCAACAGUGAACCAAUCCCCAGCCUUAUGGUCUUCACACAGGCUUUGGACUAUUCUCAAGUGGCCCAGAGAGUCCAUGACCCCAGCAAAUUUACAUUUUUCCACAGCUCAAAUUUGAAAGCCACACAUUUGGAUCGGGCCACUUAACUAGCUAAGUAGUUCACUGCCCAACACAAGAAAUGGCAGAAACCUUUUUCAUCAUGUAUAUCUAUUGCAGUUUCUUGGAAGUAGAUGCCUAUAAGCCACAGUAUUCUCCAGGCACAAAGAUGGAGGACCACAGCGAUCGAUUAGUGAUGUCUGCCUUGGCUAAGGGAAGGGGAGAACAUUUGUCAAGUGCCUCCUACUGUGAUCUCCAGUCCACAUCUUGUCCUGCCUGCCACUUAAAAGAGUGUGCUCCAUAUGUCUGGAGACCAGCAAAGUUCAGGUGUGAACGUCAAAGGUGGCGUGUUGGUACCCACAGGCACAUGCAGACCCUCCCGUGUCCUGUGUUGGCAGAGUGUCUUAGGACCUCCCUUUCCUCCAGAAGGCUGGAAACUUGCUGUUUCCCGUUCCUUGCUGAUCAACACCCAAACCUAUUCCUCAUUUCUAGUUGUUUCUGAUGCUUCUUGGUUGACAUUUGAGCCGCAUUCCCAUUACAGCCAGUGUCCGGGUACGUAGCAGGUGCUGUACAUAAUAGUUCUAAUGAUGGGGAGGGAGUAGGGUGUAAAUUUUGCUUUUCUGUGUUUUUGUGGGUUUUUGUUUGUUUUGAUGCAGUACAGAGUGAAGGGGUAAGAAUAUGCUGAAAAACAUAAAACUGAAUAAUUUAUUCACAGAAACUAUUAAAAUGGUAUUGUUGGGCUCACAGCAAGCCUGACAGCAGCUGUAGCUGCUACUCGUUCUCACUGAGGAGAUUAUUUUAUUUAAUGUGAGGGAGAUGUGAGGCAGGGUGGCUGGCUGCGGCUUCUUAUAAAACGCAGGUACCUUCCCCAAUGUCUCUCCCCUCGCCUUUGAUAGAUGGGUUUAUGUCAUGUGCUUGGCUGUCCCUGAAAUAGGGGGGGGGGGCUGUUGUCCUCAGAACCCGGGCUUCCGCCCAUGUGACAGUCUGUGAUGUUGCUGAUGCAUGUGCCACAGAGCCCAGCCUCUCCAGGAAGUCAGUUUGGAGGAGUUUGUGGUCACAUAUCCUUAGAAAACAAAACUGAGUCAGGUUCCUCUCUGCAGGAAUUUUUCAGAGCCUUGAAUACGUACGUGGUCUGCCUUGUGAAUCUCGGAGAACGUAGCAUUUCCGGGCUGCGUGACCUGGGUGUCCUGCAUGGCAGACCAUGUCUUACCUGGUUUUUCACACAGUAGCCUUUGGUGAGGGUGAUCUAGCCUGUCAGAGGUCUGCAAAGAUUGACAGCUGCUUCCUAGGUCCUUCCACAAAUAAGCAGAAACAGCAUCUGCAUGGGAACUUUAUCAGAAUUGCGCUUUACCUAACUGGGGUGGCUCCAUCCAGACACUGCCCCCAGACAGUGAUCCCGCCCCUCCAAGCACAGUGGAGGGAAGUCUAGGGUGUCGUGGAGUGGGGCAGGUGGCAUAAGGAUGCAAAACUAUCUCCCACUCUGUGGCCUUCAAGGCCGCUUGGUGGUGACGAUGGCCUCAUGGAAAAUACUUCUCACUUCCACCCACAGUUUGGAACUGUUACCCGUGUGCUUCUGGAGUUUUUAAAUGGAAAUUCGUGUUGACUUCCAUGUUUCUCAUUUCUGUUUGUCUGUUGUCUGUGGUACAGUGCUGUGUGCAGAUGGUACUCACUCCAUUCCUCUCUAAUGUGAGAAAGAUUGCCCUUCUGGGGACAGCGUGUCAGUACGCUUCCAGAGUGAGGGGCUCUUCCUCCUGUCUUGUGUUCACACUUCGUAGUGACAAUUUUUUAAAAAAUGUGUACCAGCUCGACUGUUUAUUGUAGAAUGUAGAAAGGAUUCUGUGUCCCUCGCUAAAGACAUCCAUUGGUGAAGUGUGUUUGGAAACCCAAGUGUUUUUCUACUGGAAAAACGAUGUUGAAGAAGCUUCCUCUCGCAUGCCUCUCGUGCUUAGCUAGAAAGGGGGAACUGUCCCAGCUCUGAGCCACUGUUCAAAGGUGCAGCUGUGUUUUUAGGACCAGAUACAGGCAGAAUGGUAAGCACAUGCCUGCUUAGCUUACCCAUUUAUCAGAAAAGUUUAGAAUACGAGCCACAGGGGUCCCUGCCUACAGUCCCUACAGCCUCCCCCUGCCCCAGUACCUUUCUCAGCUGGUCUGGGAAUAAUCGGGGCAGCCCAUUUGACGGGGUCUCUCUCGGUCAGGCCUUUCCUCCUGGUCCCGAGAGCAAGCCUUUCUCUUCUGUGUGUUCAGCCACAAGGAGAAUUAUGGGAACCAGAAACUUCUCUCCGGCCAGCCCUUCUGAGGACACAGGUCCUGCCCAUGCUCCAAGAGUGCUCCUGGACAUUGUGUAAGGCCCUAGGACUCUUAGCUCAAAUGAUAAUGAUUGCAUUGCUAUCCUGCUUUAACUGACAAAACCACAGAGGUUUUGCUUGUUUCCCUACUCUCUUCCUCUGCCCAGGCCUCCUCCAUACAUAUACAGGCACACAUGGGUAUGCAUACACACACUUGCACAGUAGACAUACACACACACAUGCACAUAUGGGUUUGCACACACAUGCACAUGUGGGUGUGCACACACACAUGCACAGUAGACAUGCUCACACACACAUGCAGACAUGGGUAUGCACACACACAUGCACACAUGAAUGUGCACACACACAUACACAGAUUGCCCGAGCCUGUGCACUCCUGGUGCCCAACUCCCAUCCUGGCCCACCUCUCUGUCAGCAGGACUGACUCCAUCACUCCCUCAGGUUUUGCCCACCAGCAUCCACCAGCUUUUCCCUCAGCACAGCCCCUUUGAAUAGACAACAGGACCUUCUAGAACCAGCUGAGCCCUUGGACAGCAGCAGGCAACUUUUGAUCUGCUCUCAUCGGGUACAAAGGGUGGUAUCCGUAUUCUCUUCUGAGCAUGCUCAGUAAGGCAUAUGGACAUAGAAUUUAACAUCCCUGAGGAGUGUGUGUUUUUUACAUAUUUGUAUGCAGUCGAGGAGGGCCUGUUGUAGAAUUCUCUCCCUGUAUCUUACUAUACUGUUAAAGAAGCUGAAUUCCAUGUUGCCAACAGAUGCGUGAAAUGUUCCCGAAACUUCCUCCAGGAAAAGCCAUUCAAGCCUGAUUAUUUUUCUAAGUAACUUCAAUUAAAUUGAAGAAAAAAAAAAC